rnacentral:rRNA from 1 species
CAAUAGCGUAUAUUAAAGUUGUUGCGGUUAAAAAGCUCGUAGUUGGAUCUCGGCAGGCAGGGGUUGGUUCGCUCUUAGCGCUACUGCCCCAUUUGCCUGUGUGAUUGGCGGAGGUUUCGGGGUGCUCUUCGUUGAGUGACCCGGGGCGCCGUCAGGUUUACUUUGAAAAAAUUAGAGUGCUCAAAGCAGGCUUUUCACGCUUGAAUAUUCGUGCAUGGAAUAAUGGAAUAGGAACUCGUUUCUAUUUUGUUGGUUUUCGGAAAUCGAGUUAAUGAUUAAUAGGGACAAUUGGGGGCAUUAGUAUUCAGACGACAGAGGUGAAAUUCUUGGACCGUCUGAAGACUAACUACUGCGAAAGCAUUUGCCAAGAGUGUUUUCAUUAA